rnacentral:sRNA from 1 species
CUGAAAGCCAAGCAACACUCCCCACCCUAUAAAUCCAGGGCCCAGCAGCCUUUGCUCCUGGGGGGAGAGGCCCCGGCAGGCACUGUCCCUUCCCUGUGCCCAUCAUCCCCACCAGUGCCCUCCUGCCAGUCUCUGACUCUUGUGACAGUCUGGUGGACCUGGUCUGGCAAUCUGUUACCUGCCUAUCUUGCCUUGGGGACCCAGAGCAGAGUCUGGCCACAUCCCUUGGGGGCUCCCGGUCAGGCUGGGGAGUCACCUGAACAAAGAAGACAGUGUCUAGAGCUGUGGGACAUGGCCAGCUCCCUGGGGGACAAGGUCCCCAGAGCAGCAUGUGGGAAGAGGGGGCAGACGGUGUGGCAGCCGCAUCUCGCCUGCCUCUGCCUGGCCCAGUUCCACUCACCUGCUCAGCCCCCACCUCUCUCCAGAAGAGGAGGGGGACCCGGCCCCACUCCAAUAUCCCGCUCCCUGCCUGGGCCUCCCACACCUGCGCUGCCCACACACUCACACAGCUCUCACUCCCCACAUGCUCCACACCUCCCGUCCCCACUGAGGAGAGCUCCCAGAGGCUCGCCCGCUCCCCACCAACAUGCGUCCCUGCAGACAAACGAGGCACCCAGAGAGCUUCCCCACUGCACUUGCCAGGGCUGCCGGGGCCCCGCCUUGCCCCUAGCUUCCUCUGGCGGGAGCCAUGGCUCGGAGGAGAAUGCGGACCUCUGAACGGGGGACCGGAGGCGCUGGGAGUGGGGGUGUGAGGGAGGUAGUGCCGCAGCCCCCGCUGAGCAGCCUGACCCCCCAGAUCGUGUACUUCACUGCUACAUUCCCCUACGUGGUCCUGGUCGUGCUGCUGGUGCGUGGAGUGCUGCUGCCUGGCGCCCUGGACGGCAUCAUUUACUAUCUCAAGCCUGACUGGUCAAAGCUGGGGUCCCCUCAGGUGUGGAUAGAUGCGGGGACCCAGAUUUUCUUUUCUUACGCCAUUGGCCUGGGGGCCCUCACAGCCCUGGGCAGCUACAACCGCUUCAACAACAACUGCUACAAGGACGCCAUCAUCCUGGCUCUCAUCAACAGCGGGACCAGCUUCUUUGCUGGCUUCGUGGUCUUCUCCAUCCUGGGCUUCAUGGCUGCAGAGCAGGGCGUGCACAUCUCCAAGGUGGCAGAGUCAGGGCCGGGCCUGGCCUUCAUCGCCUACCCGCGGGCUGUCACACUGAUGCCAGUGGCCCCACUCUGGGCUGCCCUGUUCUUCUUCAUGCUGUUGCUGCUUGGUCUCGACAGCCAGGUUUGCACGGGGCUCUGGGACAGGGAGCCAGGAGGGGGGCGGAGUGAGGGCUGCAGGCAAGGAAAGGGGUGGAGGGCAGUGCGGGGCUCGGCCUGAGCUGCCCUGGCCACAGUUUGUAGGUGUGGAGGGCUUCAUCACCGGCCUCCUCGACCUCCUCCCGGCCUCCUACUACUUCCGUUUCCAAAGGGAGAUCUCUGUGGCCCUCUGUUGUGCCCUCUGCUUUGUCAUCGAUCUCUCCAUGGUGACUGAUGUGAGUGGGGUGGGGGGUCUGCCUGUGACCUCUGGUGGCCGUCCGCCAUCCUCCCUGACUGGGCUCUGUCCCCCAGGGCGGGAUGUACGUCUUCCAGCUGUUUGACUACUACUCGGCCAGCGGCACCACCCUGCUCUGGCAGGCCUUUUGGGAGUGCGUGGUGGUGGCCUGGGUGUACGGUAGGUCAUGGCUGAGGGCUGGGCUGGGGUACGGUGGCAGGGAAGGCAGGUCUCCAGCUUGGCCCUCCCGCCUCACCUCGCCGCAGGAGCUGACCGCUUCAUGGACGACAUUGCCUGUAUGAUCGGGUACCGACCUUGCCCCUGGAUGAAAUGGUGCUGGUCCUUCUUCACCCCGCUGGUCUGCAUGGGCAUCUUCAUCUUCAACGUUGUGUACUACGAGCCGCUGGUCUACAACAACACCUACGUGUACCCGUGGUGGGGUGAGGCCAUGGGCUGGGCCUUCGCGCUGUCCUCCAUGCUGUGCGUGCCGCUGCACCUCCUGGGCUGCCUCCUCAGGGCCAAGGGCACCAUGGCUGAGCGCUGGCAGCACCUGACCCAGCCCAUCUGGGGCCUCCACCACUUGGAAUACCGAGCUCAGGACGCAGAUGUCAGGGGCCUGACCACCCUGACCCCAGUGUCCGAGAGCAGCAAGGUCGUCGUGGUGGAGAGUGUCAUGUGACAACUCAGCUCACAUCACCAGCUCACCUCUGGUAGCCAUAGCAGCCCCUGCUUCAGCCCCACCCCACCCCUCCAGGGGGCCUGCCUUUCCCUGACACUUUUGGGGUCUGCCUGGGGGAGGAGGGGAGAAAGCACCAUGAGUGCUCACUAAAACAACUUUUUCCAUUUUUAAUAAAACGCCAAAAAU